rnacentral:lncRNA from 1 species
AUUAAGAGUGAGGUGUCCAGUAAAGCUGAAAUUAUUUUAUUGGUUUUAGAAGAAAAAAAUCUAACAAACUGCCUUAAAUUACUGCCACUCCCCCUCCCUCCCCCCUCUAUCUCACCCCACAUUUUAACCAACUCCCUCCCCCGCCGAUCUAUUUAUGAGGUUUCUAACAGAAACCACUGCCCCACUCACCACAAGAAUCUAGGCUCUGUUUUCCUUUUCCCUCUCGUCACAUCCCUACUCACAUCCCCUCUCCUCACAUCUCCUCUCCUUACAUCUCCUCUCCUUACAUCUCCUCUCCUCACAUCCCUACUCCUCACAUCUCCUCUCCUCAUAUCCCUACUCCUCACAUCACCUCUCCUCACAUCUCUUCUCCUCUCCUCACAUACCUACCCCUCACAUCCCAUCUCCUCUCAUCACAUCCCCUCUCCUUACAUCUCCUCUCCUCACAUCCAUACUCCUCACAUCACCUCUCCUCACAUCCCUACUCCUCACAUCACCUCUCCUCACAUCUCUUCUCCGCUCCUCACAUCCCUACUCCUCACAUCACCUCUCCUCACAUCCCAUCUCCUCUCGUCACAUCCCCUCAUCACAUCCCUACUCUUCACAUCCCCUCUCCUCACAUAUCCUCUCAUCUCCUCACAUCACCUCUCCUCACAUAUCCUCUCAUCUCCUCACAUCUCUUCUCCUCUCCUCUCCUCACAUCCCUACCCCUCACAUCCCAUCUCCUCUCAUCACAUCCCUACUCUUCACAUCCCCUCUCCUCACAUAUCCUCUCAUCUCCUCACAUCCCCUCUACUCACAUCCCCUCUACUCACAUCCCCUCUACUCACAUCCCUACUCCUCUCAUCUCCCCUCAUUACCUCUCCUCACAUCCCUACUCCUCACAUCCCUUCUCCUCACGUCUCCUAUCCUCACAUCCCCUCUCCUCACAUCUCCUCACAUCCAUACUCCUCACAUCUUGACUCCUCACAUCUCCUCACAUCCAUACUCCUCACAUCUUGA